AACGAACGCUGGCGGCAGGCUUCAUACAUGCAAGUCGAGCGGGCGUCUCUUUUCGGAGAGGCGUUAGCGGCGAACGGGUGAGUAACAGGUGGAUAAUCUGCCUCCUGGCGGGGGAUAACGGCUGGAAACGGCCGCUAAUACCGCAUGUGAUUGCCGGGUCCAUGCCCGGCAAAGAAAGGCGCUUCACGGCGUCACCAGGAGAUGAGUCCGCCCCCCAUUAGCUAGUUGGCGGGAUAACAGCCCACCAAGGCUUCGAUGGGUAGCCGAGCUGAGAGGUUGAUCGGCCACACUGGAACUGAGACACGGUCCAGACACCUACGGGAGGCAG
rnacentral:rRNA from 1 species